GAUGAACGCUGGCGGCGUGCCUAAUACAUGCAAGUCGAGCGAAUGGAUUAAGAGCUUGCUCUUAUGAAGUUAGCGGCGGACGGGUGAGUAACACGUGGGUAACCUGCCCAUAAGACUGGGAUAACUCCGGGAAACCGGGGCUAAUACCGGAUAGCAUUUUGAACUGCAUGGUUCAAAAUUGAAAGGCGGCUUCGGCUGUCACUUAUGGAUGGACCCGCGUCGCAUUAGCUAGUUGGUGAGGUAACGGCUCACCAAGGCAACGAUGCGUAGCCGAACUGAGAGGGUGAUCGGCCACACUGGGACUGAGACACGGCCCAGACUCCUACGGGAGGCAGCAGUAGGGAAUCUUCCGCAAUGGACGAAAGUCUGACGGAGCAACGCCGCGUGAGUGAUGAAGGCUUUCGGGUCGUAAAACUCUGUUGUUAGGGAAGAACAAGUGCUAGUUGAAUAAGCUGGCACCUUGACGGUACCUAACCAGAAAGCCACGGCUAACUACGUGCCAGCAGCCGCCGUAA
rnacentral:rRNA from 1 species